rnacentral:rRNA from 1 species
CCUACGGGUGGCAGCAGUGAGGAAUAUUGGUCAAUGGGCUUACUCCUGAACCAGCCAAGUCGCGUGAGGGAAGACUGCCCUAUGGGUUGUAAACCUCUUUUGUCAGGGAGCAACGCCGGCUACGUGUAGCCGGAAUGAGAGUACCUUAAGAAAAAGCAUCGGCUAACUCCGUGCCAGCAGCCGCGGUAAUCCGGAGGAUGCGAGCGUUAUCCGGAUUUAUGGGUUUUAAGGGGUGCGUAGGCGGAAUGCCAAGUCAGCGGUAAAAUCGCGGGGCUCAACCUCGCCGCGCCGUUGAAACUGGCGUACUUGAGUGAGCGAGAAGUACGCGGAAUGCGUGGUGUAGCGGUGAAAUGCAUAGAUAUCACGCAGAACGCCGAUUGCGAAGGCAGCAUACCGGCGCCAAACUGACGCUGAAGCACGAAAGCGUGGGGAUCGAACAGGAUUAGAUACCCCGGUAGUC